GUGCUGGCAUCAAGUAAGCCGACUACCUCGGCAAAGGCUUAGGGACAAGAGACCAGCAGCCUGAACUGGCUGGGGCAUCCGGAAGGCUUAGAUCUUGUGGCCAAGAGUUCAGACCGUGGCGAAGUGGAGAGUGACAUGCAGUUGGAUGGCGGUGACUGCGUGGUAUGGAAGAAAAUUCAGCUGAAAUUUGCUAGAAAAUGAGUUGUUUUGGAAAGAGACUGUAGAGAAAGGCAAAUGGAAGAAGAAAGCUUCUGUGCCCCCACAGAUACCGACUGAAAAGUGUUAGCAUGAGCAAAAGUUCCUAUCUAAUAUUAUAUGCUUUCCUUUGCUCCCAGGUCCUGCAACCCUGGUUCCAGUCUGGCAAGCAUUGUAGACCUGGCUGCUGAAGACUGACGGGGCCCAGGGUCCGCUGCCCCCACCGCCAUCACCACCUCGGAACCCAGGGUAACGCUGUCAGUCUUUGAGCCUACGAGGAAACCAUUCGGAAGCUCCAGAACCCAGGCCCUAAUCACAACGCCCCUAUCCAGCAGGAAGCAGCCAGAUGAUCAACGACGCCCUUUUUCCUUUUUAUACUAAAGUAAGAAAUAAGAAUGUUAGCCCAAACUGCACUAUUUUGCAGACCCCUACCAUUUUACAAACUGGUCAGAGUGGAAAAUUCCACCAGGGCCUGAGCUGUGAGAAACAUCCUGUCAGGCAGGUCCCAGGCCUAACCCCUGGCUGCACUAAAUUCCUUCAUUAUCAGCAGCCAAACACACCGCCCCCACCCCAUUUUCACAACAAUCCCAGACCUCUCCUGCCCGGGACUGUAACUGGUCCAGCCUGUAAGCGGGAAGGGGGCUCUGGCACUAGCUGGUACCCCCUCUCCGCAGGUCUUUCUCCCAAUAAAUCUGUG
rnacentral:lncRNA from 10 species